rnacentral:tRNA from 1 species
UUGGAACUAGCUUAAUCGGUAAAGCGACAGAUUUUGGGUCUGCAGAGUAGAGGUUCGAAUCCUCUGUUCCAAA